rnacentral:rRNA from 1 species
UAAACUCCGAAUGCCGGUAAUUUAGCUGUGGAGAAAGGGCGAGGGUGCUAAGGUCCUCGCCCGAGAGGAGAAGAAUCCGGACCGCCGGCUAAGGCCCCGGAGUGCAUGUUAAGUUAGUCUAACGAAGUACGGCCCCCGUGACAGCUAGGAUGUUGGCUUGGAAGCAGCCAUUCAUUCAAAGAGUGCGUAACAGCUCACUAGUCGAGGGUCUGUGCGUGGAUAAUAAUCGGGUAUUAAACAUGCCGCCGAAGCCGCGGGAUUGCACUUUUUAAUGGUGUAAUCGGUAGGGGAGCAUUCCAUGUGCGUUGAAUGGAUUCCGUAAGGGGUGCUGGAGCGUAUGGAAAAGCAAAUGUAGGUAUAAGUAACGAUAAAGAGGGUGAGAUGCCCUCUCGCCGAAAGACUAAGGUUUCCUGGGCGACGUUAAUCGUCCCAGGGUCAGUCGGGUCCUAAGGAUAAGCCUAAUGGCGAGGCCGAACGGAUGAAACGGUUAAUAUUCCGUUACUAUCUGCGUCGAGCGACGCGGUGACGGGGCGGUGACACUUCCGCGCCCUUACGAAUCAGGGCGUUGAACGGCAAAGGUGUAGAUUGCGGUAGUGAAGUACGCCGCGAGAGCCGAAGCCGGAAAGUACGCGAGUCCUCCGGGAUGAGCGAUAGUGAAGGUAAUAGCCUCCGAGAAAACCCGCUAAGCAUUAUGAUGGUGCAGAUACCCGUACCGUAAACGGACACACGUAGUUGGGUAGAAAAUACUAAGGCGUAGGGAGAUUCACGGUUAAGGAACUAGGCAAAAUAGCCCUGUAACUUCGGGAGAAAGGGUCCUGUUAUGAGCGAGGCGCAGUGAAAAGGUCCAGGCAACUGUUUACCAAAAACACAGGGCUGUGCGAAGUGUAAUUACUCAGUAUACAGCCUGACACCUGCCCGGUGCCGGAAGGUUAAGAGGAGGGCUUAUCAGCAAUGAGAAGGUCUGAAUUGAAGCCCCGGUAAACGGCGGCCGUAACUAUAACGGUCCUAAGGUAGCGAAAUUCCUUGUCGGGUAAGUUCCGACCUGCACGAAUGGUGUAAUGAUCCGGACACUGUCUCAACCGUGAUCCCUGUGAAAUUGAAGUAUCGGUGAAGAUGCCGAUUACCCGCGAUGGGACGAAAAGACCCCGUGAACCUUUACUAUAGCUUAGCGUUGGAACUGGGCAAUUGAUGUGUAGGAUAGGCCGGAGGCAAUGAAGCGUGCGCGCCAGCGUAUGUGGAGCCGCCGUUGAAAUACGGCCCUUUGGCUGUUUGAGGUUCCUAACUUGCAAGUGCAAGGACCGCGCUUGGUGGGUAGUUUGACUGGGGUGGUCGCCUCCAAAAGCGUAACGGAGGCUUCUAAAGGUACCCUCAGGCCGAUUGGUAACCGGCCAUGGAGUGUAAUGGCAAAAGGGUGCUUGACUGGGAGGCGGACGUGCCGAGCAGGUAGGAAACUAGAGCAUAGUGAUCCGGUGGUUCCGCAU